AUAGAACGCUGGCGGCAGGCCUAACACAUGCAAGUCGGACGGUAGCACAGAGGAGCUUGCUCCUCGGGUGACGAGUGGCGGACGGGUGAGUAAUGUCUGGGGAUCUGCCCGAUAGAGGGGGAUAACCACUGGAAACGGUGGCUAAUACCGCAUAACGUCGCAAGACCAAAGAGGGGGACCUUCGGGCCUCGCACUAUCGGAUGAACCCAGAUGGGAUUAGCUAGUAGGCGGGGUAAUGGCCCACCUAGGCGACGAUCCCUAGCUGGUCUGAGAGGAUGACCAGCCACACUGGAACUGAGACACGGUCCAGACUCCUACGGGAGGCAGCAGUGGGGAAUAUUGCACAAUGGGCGCAAGCCUGAUGCAGCCAUGCCGCGUGUAUGAAGAAGGCCUUCGGGUUGUAAAGUACUUUCAGCGGGGAGGAAGGCGGUGAGGUUAAUAACCUCACCGAUUGACGUUACCCGCAGAAGAAGCACCGGCUAACUCCGUGCCAGCCGCCGCCGUAA
rnacentral:rRNA from 1 species